rnacentral:rRNA from 1 species
AGUGAACGCUGGCGGUAGGCCUAACACAUGCAAGUCGAACGGCAGCACAGGAGAGCUUGCUCUCUGGGUGGCGAGUGGCGGACGGGUGAGGAAUACAUCGGAAUCUACUCUGUCGUGGGGGAUAACGUAGGGAAACUUACGCUAAUACCGCAUCCGACCUACGGGUGAAAGCAUGGGACCUUCCGGCCUUGCGCGAAUGAAUGAGCCGAUGGCGGAUUAACUAGUUGGCGGGGUAAAGGCCCACCAAGGCGACGAUCCGUAGCUGGUCUGAGAGGAUGAUCAGCCACACUGGAACUGAGACACGGUCCAGACUCCUACGGGAAGCAGCAGUGGGGAAUAUUGGACAAUGGGCGCAAGCCUGAUCCAGCCAUACCGCGUGGGUGAAGAAGGCCUUCGGGUUGUAAAGCCCUUUUGUUGGGAAGGAAAUCCAGCUGGCUAAUACCCGGUUGGGAUGACGGUACCCAAAGAAUAAGCACCGGCUAACUUCGUGCAAGCAGCCGCUGUAA